AGAUUGUCUUCUGACUUCUACACACAGGCUGUGGCACGAGCAUGCUCACGCACUCACAAUAGAUAAUAGAUAGGGAUUUAAGAACUCCUUAGGCUGCUGUAGGCAGCAGCAUGGAGCCACAUCUCUGGUCUAAGCUCCAAGGACACUGAUGGACCUUCCACACAAGCCACUCCCUGGUUUUCUUGCCUUCUUGGGCUUGUUCCACCCACAUCCAGGUACUAAUGGCCAUAGGCUGGGCAGCAGCUACAAAAAGAGGUGAGCUCGAACCCAGCCCUGCCUGACCCGGAGAUGGAGUAACAGGCUAAUGAGAUGACGUCCGGCCAUGGGGAAAACACCCCAGCGUUCCUGAGACCUGUGUGACUCUGGAUUGAUUUCUGAUCUGGCAUCAGAGAGGGGUGGGAACCCGUUGUCGCAUGUGCCCAGCUGUCAUGGUGGACAGAUGGGCAGCCCCUCUCUGGGGCCUAAGUCGGGCAUGCUGAGACUACGGAGAGGGUAGAGGAAGGAGUGGAGGCUCAUGGGAGGGAGCAGGGAUGGGCACAGCCUGCCCCACACACCCUACUGCCAACGGGGUAAGGCUGCUGUGUGGGGCAGCGACACCUGGUUCCAGGAGCCUAGGCGAGCUUGGCUCGUCACAGAGAUGGUACCCAAAUCCCUUUCUAAUUCCAAACUAGAGCCAGAGCCCCCAAGCCUCCGGAACUCCUAAGCUACAGAGACGCACCCUUUGGGUUUCAGAGGCUGGUCCUAAAGAGCCUAGAACACUCAAGUCCUGAACUUAUCAGUGUGUGCCAUUGGCCUAAAUAACACAGAGUUGGGAGUGGAGGUCCACGGGGUAUGGUGACAAGAGAGAAUUAUAAUGGUAGCCAGGGGGAUCCUGAGGAACAGGAUUGGAGUUCUAUGGUUUCGUGUUUUAGAAGGGAAGGGAGGCUCAGGGAAGCAAGGGGUAGGCAUGUAGCAAGAGUGACAGAGUCAGGGCCUUGGGGCUCCCCGGCUACUGCUACAGAACCUCACCUGAAACGACCCCCAUCUCCAUCAGCAGGUAGAAGGCUAAGCAAACCGUGUCAAGGAAUGCCACUCGGCCCUGCACAGGAUGGUGCUACCAAGACACCAGAUAAAAUGCACCAAUGUCAAAGCUGCCAUGCUGAGUGAAAGACACCAGACAAAAAAGGAGGAGCAGGGGGCCUGGGAGUACAGCUCAGUGGUGAAGCACGGGAGGCCUGCCCAACCGUCAGCACCAAAUAACAACAACAGAUGCUUGAAGAGGGCGUGCACUGGGGCCAGAGGGUGACGUAUCAGGUGAGAGAGCUCAGGCAGCUCCUGACUCCGCUGGAGAGCAGUGCUCUCUCUUCUUCCUGCCACCUGCUAGCCUAGUGCUAGCUGACAGAAGGUGAGGAACCGAGCAGAGGUCCCACCCACCUGAGCAGAGCUCCACCCACCGGAUCUGAGCAGAGGCCCCACCCACCGGAUCUGAGCAGAGGCCCCACCCACCGUGUCUGAGCAGAAGCCCCACCCACCCUGUCUCUAUUGCCUCACAGCAUCCCUCGGUGGCAUCUUGCCCACUUGUCAUCUUCCUUCUGCUGUGAGGAAGAGGUCAUUUUGUCCUGAGUCACUGAAUAUCAAACGUUACCGGCCCUGGUGGUUUCCAGCCAUUUUUAAAUGAAGCUUUGACCAAAGACUCCUUUAAAAGGCCAUCCUUUUUCCUUAGGCCACGGUGUUUAUACUUGAUGGCCCUUAAACAGAGCUGCUUUUAAGCAAAGACAUUCACUACUUUCCUCACAUGUCCCUAUAAAAAGAAAAAUCUGAAGAACAUCUGUAUCUGCCAGCCAGGAACUUGCUUGAGAACCCAGCAACCAGACUGCAGUAUGUGAAGACACUGCUGUGGCCAGGCUCCUUCCUCCUAGAAGACCCUCUGCCUCCCAGAGGUCUGUGGGCAUCAACCCCUCUGAAGAGGGUCCAUCCUGUAAGUUAUAAGGGGGAUCGCUACAUAUAGUAACUCUUUAAUGUGUCCAGGACGCAAGCUACCUGAGGAACUGCACACACCUUUUUGACAGUAACCCUAUGUGGGAGCUACAAUAUCACACCCAUUUUACAGAUAGGAUUCUAAGUCUCAGAGAGGCCAACAGCCUAGCUCAGUCCUGAUUACAUAUAUGAGGCUCUUUGGGGUUCUGCCUCCACCAUGAAAGGCAUAGAAAGAAACCUCCAGUCAAACCCCUGGUCUUUCCACCCUUCUGGCUAAGAAGGCUUGGCUGUGUUCUCUCCUGUCUGACCCUUGAAGAAACUGAACCCUCGGGACUCUUGUUUUUCUGAACCUCUCUGAACUAGCUAAUUGCCCCACAAUGUCCAAGAUAAUGUCUCUGCUGGGGGGUUUGCUCUCUGGUGCCAAAAUUGCCUCAGGUGACCCACAACAGGCUUUAAAGGCUGGCUGGCACAGCAGCGUCUGUCCUCCAGUGGCAGGGUCAGCACGCCAUCUGGUGGAUCCUAGCAGACCUCGACAUGGCCAGACAGAACAGCCUGUGAUGUGAGAGAAGCCCGUCCAGAUCUGGUGGCCCUGCUGAAGGGUUCAGAGAGAGGAAGUGACCAGCCUUGUGUUGCACAGCAAAAGGGAACCCAGACUCCUGAACCAUCCUUCACAAAGCUCUUGGGCAGCAAGUCAUGCUUCCCUAAUUUGCUGGAAGCUGAGUGUCCAGGAGCAGGAUGAGACUUCAGUUCUGGUGGAUGUGAAUUAAAGGAAGUGUUCCAUUAGCAGGAUGCUCUCA
rnacentral:sRNA from 1 species